rnacentral:rRNA from 1 species
UACGGAGGGUGCAAGCGUUGCUCGGAAUUAUUGGGCGUAAAGGGUAGGUAGGUGGUCUCAUUUGUCUGGGGUGAAAGCCUCGAGCUUAACUCGAGAAGUGCCUCGGAAACGGUGAGACUAGAGUCUUGGAGAGGGUCGUGGAAUUCCCGGUGUAGCGGUGAAAUGCGUAGAGAUCGGGAGGAACACCAGCGGCGAAGGCGGCGACCUGGACAAGUACUGACACUCAACUACGAAAGCGUGGGGAGCAAACAGG